UUCAGAAGAACCAUUCAAGACAAGCUGCUGGGACACAGGGACUGGUGGCUGACCCCCAGGGGAAGAACCUCUCAGACAGGUGGCCUAGAGCUCCCUGAGAGCAGUUAUUGUGAUUGAGUUUACAGGGAAACAGUGCCAGCCAGACCAUCACUUCGCCCACUGGACAGAGGGCCCACCAGCUUUCACUCUUGGGACUGACAGAUGUCAUAGGACUCAGAGAACCACUGGACUAGUCAGAAGGACCCCCACCCCACCCCCACAACUCCUACCAACUCAGAUGACAGAGCCCAAAACACAACAGUCAUACCAGGAGACUGGAAAGCUUUUGAAUCCACCCAAGAUAUCAGUGAGGGUAGUAAAGAGAGACACAUCUACAUAAUGAUAAAGACAGAACUUGAAAAAAAAGAAAGAAAGAAAAGAAAACACAAAUAAACCAACCAAAAAAAACCUAUCGAAUGGGUCCAUUACAUACAGAUUGGAGAAGAUACACUGACCCAAUUAGAUCUAACAGGCAUUCAAAGAAUCCUGCACCAAACAGAAAAAAAAUAUGCGCUUUUCAUGCCCACCUGGAAGAUUUCUAAAAACUGACUAUGUAGUAGGUCCCAAAGAAAUAGCCCACAAAAGCCAAAGAAUGGAUAUUCAAAUACACCCAGCACCUUCUCCACCAUAGCAGAACAGAAUUAGAAAUAACAAGAAGCCAUCUCAAAAAAAGACUUUAGGCAAAAAGUCACCAAAAGGAUUAUGAGUCAAAAAAAAAAUAUGAAAUGGAACCGAAUCACCACAAAAGUCAGUAUAUGAACAGGUCUGCAUGUAUCCAUAUGGCUAACUCUGAAAACAUCACGUCCAGGGGAAAGCAAACGGCAGAAGGAUAUGUGUGGUAUCACAGGCGUACUUGUGUAAAAACAUUUCACAGCAUCUCUGCAGUGCACACACGGAGGUGUGUGCCGUGUGCGACACAUGUAUGCAGAAAGCCCAGACACGUGAGGAGGAAGAAGACACCCGUUUCUGGAGACUGAGUGGGAAGAACAAGCGAUAGGUCUGGAAAGGGUUACAAAUGAAUCAUCCACUCCAUUUGUGAGUUGUAUUUCUUUCAAAAGAACCUGAAAAAAAUACAUAGCUAAGCAUCAGCAUCUCUUAAAUCAGGCUGGUGAGCACAUCGAUUGUUCUUAUUGCUUUUUGGGGACAGGGCUUCCAUGUAUGUCAAAUACACAGAAUUAAAGGAACAAAA